GCGGAAGGCCCUUCGGGGUACUCGAGCGGCGAACGGGUGAGUAACACGUGAGCAACCUGCCCCCGACUCUGGGAUAAGCCCGGGAAACUGGGUCUAAUACCGGAUAUGACCACCGUCCGCAUGGGCUGGUGGUGGAAAGUUUUUCGGUUGGGGAUGGGCUCGCGGCCUAUCAGCUUGUUGGUGGGGUAGUGGCCUACCAAGGCGACGACGGGUAGCCGGCCUGAGAGGGCGACCGGCCACACUGGGACUGAGACACGGCCCAGACUCCUACGGGAGGCAGCAGUGGGGAAUAUUGCGCAAUGGGCGAAAGCCUGACGCAGCGACGCCGCGUGGGGGAUGACGGCCUUCGGGUUGUAAACCUCUUUCAGCAGGGACGAAGUUGACGUGUACCUGCAGAAGAAGCGCCGGCUAACUACGUGCCAGCAGCCGCGGUAAUACGUAGGGCGCAAGCGUUGUCCGGAAUUAUUGGGCGUAAAGAGCUCGUAGGUGGCUGGUCGCGUCUGCCGUGAAAGCCCGCAGCUUAACUGCGGGUCUGCGGUGGAUACGGGCCGGCUAGAGGUAGGCAGGGGCAAGUGGAAUUCCUGGUGUAGCGGUGAAAUGCGCAGAUAUCAGGAGGAACACCGGUGGCGAAGGCGGCUUGCUGGGCCUUACCUGACGCUGAGGAGCGAAAGCGUGGGGAGCGAACAGGAUUAGAUACCCUGGUAGUCCACGCUGUAAACG
rnacentral:rRNA from 1 species